GCGUGCGGAGCUACCAUGCAGUCGAGCGGAACGAGUUAUCUGAACCUUCGGGGAACGAUAACGGCGUCGAGCGGCGGACGGGUGAGUAAUGCCUAGGAAAUUGCCCUGAUGUGGGGGAUAACCAUUGGAAACGAUGGCUAAUACCGCAUAAUGCCUACGGGCCAAAGAGGGGGACCUUCGGGCCUCUCGCGUCAGGAUAUGCCUAGGUGGGAUUAGCUAGUUGGUGAGGUAAGGGCUCACCAAGGCGACGAUCCCUAGCUGGUCUGAGAGGAUGAUCAGCCACACUGGAACUGAGACACGGUCCAGACUCCUACGGGAGGCAGCAGUGGGGAAUAUUGCACAAUGGGCGCAAGCCUGAUGCAGCCAUGCCGCGUGUGUGAAGAAGGCCUUCGGGUUGUAAAGCACUUUCAGUCGUGAGGAAGGUAGUGUAGUUAAUAGCUGCAUUAUUUGACGUUAGCGACAGAAGAAGCACCGGCUAACUCCGUGCCAGCAGCCGCGGUAAUACGGAGGGUGCGAGCGUUAAUCGGAAUUACUGGGCGUAAAGCGCAUGCAGGUGGUUUGUUAAGUCAGAUGUGAAAGCCCGGGGCUCAACCUCGGAAUUGCAUUUGAAACUGGCAGACUAGAGUACUGUAGAGGGGGGUAGAAUUUCAGGUGUAGCGGUGAAAUGCGUAGAGAUCUGAAGGAAUACCGGUGGCGAAGGCGGCCCCCUGGACAGAUACUGACACUCAGAUGCGAAAGCGUGGGGAGCAAACAGGAUUAGAUACCCUGGUAGUCCACGCCGUAAACGAUGUCUACUUGGAGGUUGUGGCCUUGAGCCGUGGCUUUCGGAGCUAACGCGUUAAGUAGACCGCCUGGGGAGUACGGUCGCAAGAUUAAAACUCAAAUGAAUUGACGGGGGCCCGCACAAGCGGUGGAGCAUGUGGUUUAAUUCGAUGCAACGCGAAGAACCUUACCUACUCUUGACAUCCAGAGAACUUUCCAGAGAUGGAUUGGUGCCUUCGGGAACUCUGAGACAGGUGCUGCAUGGCUGUCGUCAGCUCGUGUGUGAAUGUUGGGUUAAGUCCCGCAACGAGCGCAACCCUUAUCCUUGUUUGCAGCGAGUAUGUCGGGACUCAGGAGACUGCGGUGAUAACGGAGGAGGUGGGGGACGACGUCAAGUCAUCAUGGCCUUACGGGA
rnacentral:rRNA from 1 species